UACGUAGGUGGCAAGCGUUGUCCGGAAUUAUUGGGCGUAAAGCGCGCGCAGGCGGUCCUUUAAGUCUGAUGUGAAAGCCCACGGCUCAACCGUGGAGGGUCAUUGGAAACUGGGGGACUUGAGUACAGAAGAGAAGAGUGGAAUUCCACGUGUAGCGGUGAAAUGCGUAGAGAUGUGGAGGAACACCAGUGGCGAAGGCGACUCUUUGGCCCGAUACUGACGCUGAGGCACGAAAGCGUGGGGAGCAAACAGG
rnacentral:rRNA from 1 species